CCUAAUACAUGCAAGUCGAGCGAAUGGAUUAAGAGCUUGCUCUUAUGAAGUUAGCGGCGGACGGGUGAGUAACACGUGGGUAACCUGCCCAUAAGACUGGGAUAACUCCGGGAAACCGGGGCUAAUACCGGAUAACAUUUUGAACCGCAUGGUUCGAAAUUGAAAGGCGGCUUCGGCUGUCACUUAUGGAUGGACCCGCGUCGCAUUAGCUAGUUGGUGAGGUAACGGCUCACCAAGGCAACGAUGCGUAGCCGACCUGAGAGGGUGAUCGGCCACACUGGGACUGAGACACGGCCCAGACUCCUACGGGAGGCAGCAGUAGGGAAUCUUCCGCAAUGGACGAAAGUCUGACGGAGCAACGCCGCGUGAGUGAUGAAGGCUUUCGGGUCGUAAAACUCUGUUGUUAGGGAAGAACAAGUGCUAGUUGAAUAAGCUGGCACCUUGACGGUACCUAACCAGAAAGCCACGGCUAACUACGUGCCAGCAGCCGCGGUAAUACGUAGGUGGCAAGCGUUAUCCGGAAUUAUUGGGCGUAAAGCGCGCGCAGGUGGUUUCUUAAGUCUGAUGUGAAAGCCCACGGCUCAACCGUGGAGGGUCAUUGGAAACUGGGAGACUUGAGUGCAGAAGAGGAAAGUGGAAUUCCAUGUGUAGCGGUGAAAUGCGUAGAGAUAUGGAGGAACACCAGUGGCGAAGGCGACUUUCUGGUCUGUAACUGACACUGAGGCGCGAAAGCGUGGGGAGCAAACAGGAUUAGA
rnacentral:rRNA from 1 species